AUAUUGACAAUAGACUUCACAAUCAUCAAGUGUUAAGCGCAUGCUGGAGUGGUGAGAUAUCCAGAAAAUCCUCUAGUAUUGGUAGUCUUCCAAUAUAUUCACUACUUUUUUCUCAUCUUGAUUGCAAGGAAGAUGCAGUCAUCCCACCACUUGUAAACGAACUGGGUAUUCCAGAAGCUUUUGCCAAAGAUGCACCUGUUCAAUCAGCUGACACAACAGGUUUCAGUGAUUUAGAGCAACUUUUAGAAUAUUUUGAAUAUGAACAACCUCAACAAAGACGACCUCUAUAUGACAAGAUAAAGGAGCUGGUUAGAGGUGAUGGACAUUCACAUUCAUAAGUGUAUGGCGAUCCAACUACACUAGACUCUAUAAAUCUAAAUGAUCUACAUCCCAGAUCUUGGUAUUCAGUGGCAUGGUAUCCUAUUUACAGGAUACCUGAUGGUAACUUCCGUGCAGCAUUUUUGACCUACCAUUCACUUGGUUGUCUGGUUCGUAGAAAUGCCAACUUUGAGUCUCGUAGUGUGGAUGACUGUAUUGUAUCUCCAGUUGUGGGUCUUCAGAGUUACAACGCUCAGAGUGAAUGCUGGUUCCAGUUAAGGCCCUCAGCACCAGCACAGACAACAUUAUCAAACUUAAAACCCUUGUGAAAUACUGGAGGAGCGUUUGAGGACACUUGAGGAGACGGCAUCUCUUAUGUCAAGAGCUGUUGUGAGCAAAGGAAGUAUGACAUCAGUAAACAG